rnacentral:rRNA from 1 species
ACAGAUCUUUCAUGAUUAUGUGAUGGGUGGUGCAUGGCCGUUCUUAGUUCGUGGAGUGAUCUGUCUGCUUAAUUGCGUUUCAAAUAUAUUUUAUUAUAUAACGAGUCUACAAAGGAGUGGUUCAUUAACAGACAAUCAUAUCUUUGAGCGUCUGGAAUCUACUCUAUUUGGCUCAAUUGAACGCAACGGACGUGAUCGCGAGUCCUUGUUGAACUUCAGUAUAUAUUGACUUUCCCCGGGGAUUGGCAAUAAUUGAAUGUUCGCUUUCUAUAGGUGUGUAUGAUUAAUCUCAAAAUUACAUGUAUUUGUAGUGGCGAGUAUAAUUUACUAUCCUAUAGGAAAACUCGGGCGACCGCUGUAAUAUUUCUCUUUAAAACAGAGGAAGAUUGCGGCAAUAACAGGUCUGUGAUGC